AAAACGGACAAUCUGACAACGCUCUGAAUUUAAGAACACACCCGAAGUCAUAAUGUCUAACUAGUAAAUUGUUAUGCUAUCUAGCUAGCAAGAGGUUGCAUAGCAACAGCAUCAACUUCCGGUAUACAUGCGAAGAGCGAGUAUGCUCAACUGAAAGCAUACUGUUCGUUUACAGUAUACUAAAAUGAACUUAUAGUAUGUAGUAUAUACUCAUUAAGUAUGUAGUAUACAAUAUGUUAGUAUGGGUAUUUGAACACAGCUUCAGGCUUUGAAAACACCAGGACCACACACUCUACACUUCUACUGUUAUGGAUUUAAGUGAACUGCUUGGAAUUUCAAAUUGAAUGCAGUGUGUGCUAUAGUAUAGUGUAAGCUAGUUGCCACCGGUAACCAAGAAGACAUAACUACAGGAUGUCCAGUUGGGGUUAUUUCAGAUGCGCAUGCACCAAACCAUGUAAGAGGAAGACAACACCAAAAUUCCUCAACGUGGUCAAUCGGAUCUAUCAACUGAAGACUCUUGCAUCGAAGCUAUGUUCUUGUUUUAACUCCUGAAGUCAUCUGUCGAUUUGACACGAGUAUGUGACAUUGUGCCGCACAAAAGGCCAUCGAUUUCCCCUCUGUGUAAAUGUAGCCAUGCUUGUCAAUAAAUGUCGAAUAGCAGCACCCUCUUGGACUCAGAGGAAAA